GGGUUGUGAGGUUAAGCGACUAAGCGUACACGGUGGAUGCCCUGGCAGUCAGAGGCGAUGAAGGGCGUGCUAAUCUGCGAUAAGCGCCGGUAAGGUGAUAUGAACCGUUAUAACCGGCGAUACCCGAAUGGGGAAACCCAGUGUGAUUCGUCACACUAUCAUUAACUGAAUCCAUAGGUUAAUGAGGCGAACCGGGGGAACUGAAACAUCUAAGUACCCCGAGGAAAAGAAAUCAACCGAGAUUCCCCCAGUAGCGGCGAGCGAACGGGGAGGAGCCCAGAGCCUGAAUCAGCAUGUGUGUUAGUGGAAGCGUCUGGAAAGGCGCGCGAUACAGGGUGACAGCCCCGUACACAAAAGCGCAUGUGCUGUGAGCUCGAUGAGUAGGGCGGGACACGUGGUAUCCUGUCUGAAUAUGGGGGGACCAUCCUCCAAGGCUAAAUACUCCUGACUGACCGAUAGUGAACCAGUACCGUGAGGGAAAGGCGAAAAGAACCCCGGCGAGGGGAGUGAAAAAGAACCUGAAACCGUGUACGUACAAGCAGUGGGAGCACAGGUUUACCUGUGUGACUGCGUACCUUUUGUAUAAUGGGUCAGCGACUUAUAUUCUGUAGCAAGGUUAACCGAAUAGGGGAGCCGGAGGGAAACCGAGUCUUAAUUGGGCGUUAAGUUGCAGGGUAUAGACCCGAAACCCGGUGAUCUAGCCAUGGGCAGGUUGAAGGUUGGGUAACACUAACUGGAGGACCGAACCGACUAAUGUUGAAAAAUUAGCGGAUGACCUGUGGCUGGGGGUGAAAGGCCAAUCAAACCGGGAGAUAGCUGGUUCUCCCCGAAAGCUAUUUAGGUAGCGCCUCGUGAAUUCAUCUCCGGGGGUAGAGCACUGUUUCGGCUAGGGGGCCAUCCCGGCUUACCAACCCGAUGCAAACUGCGAAUACCGGAGAAUGUUAUCACGGGAGACACACGGCGGGUGCUAACGUCCGUCGUGAAGAGGGAAACAACCCAGACCGCCAGCUAAGGUCCCAAAGUCAUGGUUAAGUGGGAAACGAUGUGGGAAGGCCCAGACAGCCAGGAUGUUGGCUUAGAAGCAGCCAUCAUUUAAAGAAAGCGUAAUAGCUCACUGGUCGAGUCGGCCUGCGCGGAAGAUGUAACGGGGCUAAACCAUGCACCGAAGCUGCGGCAGCGACACUGUGUGUUGUUGGGUAGGGGAGCGUUCUGUAAGCCUGCGAAGGUGGCCUGUGAGGGUUGCUGGAGGUAUCAGAAGUGCGAAUGCUGACAUAAGUAACGAUAAAGCGGGUGAAAAGCCCGCUCGCCGGAAGACCAAGGGUUCCUGUCCAACGUUAAUCGGGGCAGGGUGAGUCGACCCCUAAGGCGAGGCCGAAAGGCGUAGUCGAUGGGAAACGGGUUAAUAUUCCCGUACUUGGUGUUACUGCGAAGGGGGGACGGAGAAGGCUAUGUUGGCCGGGCGACGGUUGUCCCGGUUUAAGCGUGUAGGCUGGUUUUCCAGGCAAAUCCGGAAAAUCAAGGCUGAGGCGUGAUGACGAGGCACUACGGUGCUGAAGCAACAAAUGCCCUGCUUCCAGGAAAAGCCUCUAAGCAUCAGGUAACAUCAAAUCGUACCCCAAACCGACACAGGUGGUCAGGUAGAGAAUACCAAGGCGCUUGAGAGAACUCGGGUGAAGGAACUAGGCAAAAUGGUGCCGUAACUUCGGGAGAAGGCACGCUGACACGUAGGUGAAGUGAUUUACUCAUGGAGCUGAAGUCAGUCGAAGAUACCAGCUGGCUGCAACUGUUUAUUAAAAACACAGCACUGUGCAAACACGAAAGUGGACGUAUACGGUGUGACGCCUGCCCGGUGCCGGAAGGUUAAUUGAUGGGGUCAGCGCAAGCGAAGCUCCUGAUCGAAGCCCCGGUAAACGGCGGCCGUAACUAUAACGGUCCUAAGGUAGCGAAAUUCCUUGUCGGGUAAGUUCCGACCUGCACGAAUGGCGUAAUGAUGGCCAGGCUGUCUCCACCCGAGACUCAGUGAAAUUGAACUCGCUGUGAAGAUGCAGUGUACCCGCGGCAAGACGGAAAGACCCCGUGAACCUUUACUAUAGCUUGACACUGAACAUUGAGCCUUGAUGUGUAGGAUAGGUGGGAGGCUUUGAAGUGUGGACGCCAGUCUGCAUGGAGCCGACCUUGAAAUACCACCCUUUAAUGUUUGAUGUUCUAACGUGGACCCGUUACCCGGGUUGCGGACAGUGUCUGGUGGGUAGUUUGACUGGGGCGGUCUCCUCCUAAAGAGUAACGGAGGAGCACGAAGGUUGGCUAAUCCUGGUCGGACAUCAGGAGGUUAGUGCAAUGGCAUAAGCCAGCUUGACUGCGAGCGUGACGGCGCGAGCAGGUGCGAAAGCAGGUCAUAGUGAUCCGGUGGUUCUGAAUGGAAGGGCCAUCGCUCAACGGAUAAAAGGUACUCCGGGGAUAACAGGCUGAUACCGCCCAAGAGUUCAUAUCGACGGCGGUGUUUGGCACCUCGAUGUCGGCUCAUCACAUCCUGGGGCUGAAGUAGGUCCCAAGGGUAUGGCUGUUCGCCAUUUAAAGUGGUACGCGAGCUGGGUUUAGAACGUCGUGAGACAGUUCGGUCCCUAUCUGCCGUGGGCGCUGGAGAACUGAGGGGGGCUGCUCCUAGUACGAGAGGACCGGAGUGGACGCAUCACUGGUGUUCGGGUUGUCAUGCCAAUGGCACUGCCCGGUAGCUAAAUGCGGAAGAGAUAAGUGCUGAAAGCAUCUAAGCACGAAACUUGCCCCGAGAUGAGUUCUCCCUGAGACUUAAAGUCUCCUGAAGGAACGUUGAAGACGACGACGUUGAUAGGCCGGGUGUGUAAGCGCAGCGAUGCGUUGAGCUAACCGGUACUAAUGAACCGUGAGGCUUAACCUUACAACGCCGAAG
rnacentral:rRNA from 1 species